ACACGCCCCAGAGGUAGCCUGGUAGAAGCAGCGACGUGGGCCAGACCCAGGUCUUCUAGACCCUGGUCCAGUGUCUUUCCGUGAGCCAUGCGCUCUUCUCUGACCUUUAGGUGCCAAGGGAAAAAAAUCUCAUGUCUGUUUAAGAGCACAUCAUAAUUAUCCCAUCUUGCCGUGUGUCCACAGCAAAUGACAGCUUAGAAAUGAGUGAAUCAGAAUUACUUUGAUGACUGCGGGAAGUUCCACUUUCCAAAGGUUCUGGUUUCACAGGGAUCUUUCCAAGAGACUGUUGGUUAAAAUGCUGUGGGUGCUGUGAGAGGCCAGAGAAAUGAGACACAUUUUGAGGUCUUCGUGGAUGGCUCUUGUGGAGGCAGAGCAGUUUGUUCCAAACAAGCGAGAGGCCUCAAGAUGGUCAACAGAGUGCUGGCCGAGAGAUCACAGGUCCCUGCCACCCCCUUUCUGGGAAGGAGCAGGCCAGCCAGUGGUUAGAGCAGGUUGAGUGGGACCUGACCAGCCCCUAGGAAGACCGUCCACAGCGGGCAGUUGGUCCCUGUCCCGCCAGCUCCCCAUGGAUGUCUCUAGACUCAAGCAGCCCACAGACACAGCCUGGAUGGUGGUUGACUGAUGCCUCACUGGUAUGCAGUGCAUUUGACAGAAACCAUCAAGGAAAGGCUGGGAUGUGGUGAAUGUGCUGCCCAGAGGCAUUCGGACCUGCCCAUUUUUAAAGGACUCCCCUUCUAUAGAAAAGAUUGCUGUCUGUAGAAAUUGGGGCGCCUUUGGGUGAGAGCCAGAGCCAACCACAGGGCGUGCCAGGGACCUUAUUGUGGGACGUCUGGUGUGGCUGAGUGCGCCUUAGAAGGCAGGCAGCCGGGAUGGCAUUGAGCAGAGGCUGCCCUUUAAGACAGAGCCGGCCAUGGUGCUCUGCUCAUCCCGGAAAGUAGCUGCAUGCUCUUCAGAAGGCUGGGAUUCUUUUACUCACUUGAAACGGCACUGGCUUUUGAAGCACAGAUGAUUUAAAUGAAAAGCUUGCAAAUCAACGUCCAUAUAUACUUUUAAGUGACUUGCAUGGUUUUAAAGGACCCUGAUUUCUGAGUACAUGGUUUCUCCCCUAAAGAAAUAUUACAUAUUCUGGGGCUGGUGGGGGUGACGGCAUGGAGGGGAAUCCCGUAUAGGAAUGUGUGUUGUUUUCUCUGUCUUUUUUCAUGCUCCUAUCUCAAGAAUAUGGGUUUUUCCAGUUCCGCUUUAAACACCAGCCAGGCAACAGAUGACUCUGGUAAGAAUUUGGCAGCUGGAUGAAACAGUCUAGUGAACUUUGAAGAGUGUGUGUGUGUUAGGAGAGGAAGCAGCAGAGAGAUGCAGGAGAAACAACAAAGAGAGGAUGUUAAUAAAAAAAUAUGUACAGCUACGAGGAGUCUGCAAUCAUCCAGGUAGUGAUGUUGUAUGUUCUGGAAUCCAUCUUUGAGAAGCUCCUGUGGAUCUUUUGAGUGGAGUUCAUCCAGUGCCCUACUCUCUCUGACAAAUGCAGAGCCUUGUGAAGAGUGGCCCCUGGGCCACCGGCCCUAGUGUACCUGGCAGGAGCCCAGAGAAGCCAUGGCGGAGCCCAGACGGGGGUGGGGAACGUUUCAGCAGAUGAUUGACAGGUCUGAUGAUAUGCAGCUGUGGGGAAUGUGUCACUGUUCUUACCCUGUUGUACCACUUUUCAUACAAAGUCCUGACUUUUAAAUAGGUGUAGCAAUGUCUUAUGGUGUGACUGACAAGUAGGCAUUUCUUGCAUCAAAUUUAAGACCUGAAUGAUCUGUAUGAGGUGGAUAAGUGGACUCUCUGAAGAACACUCUUUUGUUUCUUUUUUUCCUUUUUAAAAUGCCUUUUUGGUACAUAACUAAUAUAUGCUUUUUUUAAAAAAAAAAAAAAGAAACUGCACAUGCGUGAAAAGGAAAAACAUCACCUGUUAUUACACCAUCUGAUUAUAACCACUGUUAACAUUUUGGUAUAUCUCUUUUCAGACUUUUUUCUAUGCAGCUGUAUUUGUUUUACUACCUUUAUCCAUGAAAUCCAAUCAUAUUAUACGUACUGUUUUAUAACUUGCUUUUUUCCCUUUUGACGCUAUAUUGUGAAUAUAUUUCUAUGCCAGUAAGUAUGUAACUGCUUCAUUUUUAACAUGUAUGUAGGUAGCACCUUGGAUACUUAAGUUGUUUCCAGUUUUUUUUUACUGCCAUACUCAAUGAGAUGAUGAAUUUUUCAGAACAUGAGGAUAAUUUUCUAAAAUUAGACCUGCUGGCUCAAAAGUGUGAUGGACAAUACAAGCUCCAUCCCCUCCUCUCCCUCCUGGACAUGCAGGAGAUGCCCCUUUGCAGCCCUUUAAAGUCACUUGGGGCCCUGGUACUAAUCCUGGCCAAGGAGCUAUAAGCAAAAGUGACAUGAGAAACGUCCAGGCCGAGACUGGGAUAUGCCUCUGUGCAGGUCUCCCGUCUCCCUGUCACCUUGCCCCACAGAUGGUGACGUCCCAGGGCGGGAGCUGCUGGCCCCUCGCAUCCCUGAGCAACUGUGGAGUGUCCCGUCUCCCAUCAUGACACCCACCUGCACGGACGUGUAGCGUGAAGAAAGGCUCAGCGGUACGUGUUACAGCACUGGGAUGUCAGGGUUAAUUUGGUCCUGCGGUGUGACCGUAAGAAAGUACGCCUGUUUUGGGGACUUUUAACAUCCCUUGCCUCGAAUUGCCUUCCAGAAAGACGAUACCAAAUUAUAGUCCCACUAGCAACGUGUGAGAAUGUUCGACUCCCUCUCUCACGCUGGUGUUACCAUGGGGACUGGAGGCUAAUUUCGAUAAGCAUUUUUUGAUUCAAGUGUGACCCUCGCUAGCCAAAAUAUUUAUUAGACUAUGUCCUUUUGUCGUUUACCUAUUCAUCUUCUCUGGCCAGUUUCCUCAGAAAGCGUUUCGCUGUCUCACUGAUUUCUAAGUUUUUUUCUCCCAUAAAUGUAUUUUUUUUAAAGUUGCACGUAUGAUUUUUUUAAAAGUUCAUUUAACAAAUUUUUAGUCAAAUCUAUCUUUUCCUUUAUGAUUGCAACCUUUGCUCUCAUGCUUAUGCAGAUCUUUGCAAUUCUGAUUCCAAGGUCAUAUGAAUUUUCAUCAGUAUUUAUGAUUAAAUAUAUGAUCCAUGUGGAAUUUAUUUUCUAAAUCACCCCAACCUCAUUUAUUGGAACAUCUAUCCUUUCCCUGCUAGGAGGAAAUCCCAUUCACUGUGUAUCCAGCCGUUACACACCGCUAAGCGUAUUUCUGAACUUUGCAUUGUGGUCUUUUGUGUACAUUCUGGCACUGGUACCACAUUGUUUGAGCAUCUCAGAUUUAGACUAAAUAUUCCCAUUAACUAAACAUCUUCAAAAAUGUGGAGUUCCCGUCGUGGCUCAGUGGUUAACGAAUCCGACUAGGAACCAUGAGGUUGAGGGUUCGAUCCUUGGCCUCGCUCAGUGGGUUAAAGAUCCGGCGCUGCCGUGAGCUGUGGUGGAAGUCGCAGACGCGGCUCGGAUCCCACACUGCUGUGGCUCUGGCGCAGGCUGGCGGCUACCGCUCUGAUUAGACUUCUAGCCUGGGAACCUCCAUAUGCCAUGGGUACAGUCCUAGAAAAGGCAAAAAGACCAAAAAAAUAAAAAAGUCCUAGAAGUUCCCAUUGUGGCUCAGCAAUUGCAAACCCAACUAGUACCCAUGAGGAUGCAGGUUUGAUCCCUGGCCUCAUUCAAUUAAGGGGUUAAGGAUCUGGCAUUGCCUCGAGCUGUGGUGUAGGUUGAAGUUGCAGCUUAGAUGCCAGCUACACCUGUGGCUGUGGCAUAGGCCAGCAGCUACAGCUCCCAUUGGACCCCUAGCCUGGGAACUUCCAUAUGCCAUGCAUGCGGCCCUAAAAAACCAAAAAAAAAAAAAAAAGAAGGCCUAGUCCUUUCCGGAUGCUAAUAUUUCCAAAAGUCAUUCAGGAUCAUUUUGUAACGUUUAGAAGAAUUGGAAAUAAGGUUGUGUAAAAUUUAUAGGUUACCAUAGAGAGAAUUGAUGUUACUUUGUAAUAUUUAACCUUCCAUUUUAGUAAAUUUAUAAAGUAUUAUGUUCCUCAGUAUAUUUUUUCUAGUUUAGAUAAUUUUUGGUAGUUCUGGUUACUGUGGUAAAUGAGCUCUUUUGUCCGUUACGUUUUCUAUGUGCUUACUGGUAGUAUGAAAGUACAGCACUCCUUGAGUUCCCAUUGUGGCUCAGCCAUUAGCCAACCAGACUAGCAUCCAUGAGGACGGGGGUUCGAUCCCUGGGUCGUUCAGUGGGUUAAGGAUCUGUUGUUGCCGUGAGCUGUGGUGUAGGUCACAGACAUGGCUCAGAUCUGGCAUUGCUGUGGCUGUGGUGUAGGCCAGCAGCUUCAGCUCCGAUUGGACCCCUAGCCUGGGGACCUCCAAUAUGCUGUGGCUGUGGCUCUAAAGAGACAAAAUACAGAAAAAAAAAAGUACGGCACUCCUUUUUUUUUUUUUUUUUUAAUGGAAAUUAAAUCCAUUGGUUUUUUUCUGAUUUAAAAUAUUAACGAAAUACAUAAUUGUACACAUAAUGAAAAAACACAGUGAAGAAACUGAAAGUUCCCUGAAUUAAAAUCCAUCCCUCUUGCCCCGAGAUAGUCAACAGUUGAUGUAUAGUCCUCAAAUUUUUUUUUCCUAACUUUUUUUUUUUUUUCAUUUUGACCACAUGGUCAACAGUUGAUGCAUAGUCCUCAAAAGAAAUUUUUUUCCCUAAAAUACAUUUUUUUCAUUUGGACCAAAUGGUACCACCCUUCCGCUACUCACAUUCUUUACUGGCGAUAGAUCUGGCCAUCUUCCUGUUGGCACAUAGAAAUCUACCUCACUCUCCUUAACUCUGCAUAGAGAGCUGUGUGGUGGUUAGUAAGUGCGUUUAACUUGGCAGUUGGUCCUUUGUUUAUUUUGUAACUAGCCAGUUACUGAAUUUCCUUUCAUUUUAAUAGUUUUGUUGUUAUUGUUAAUUCUUCUGCCUUUUUCAGGUGGACAGUAGUUCUGAGCAGUGAUGACAACUUUACCUCCAUAUUUUUAAUAAUCUGAUUUCACUUCCUUAUCACCCGGACCAGCACUUUUAGAAAAAUGUUAAAUAACACGUACAUAAAUGGUACCGGUAUGGUCCAUUCUUCUUUAUAUAUAUGUAUUUUUUACCUGGCGAGAAAAUCUCUAGUGUUUCUCCAAAAGUACAAAUUUGACUCUUCAUAUAAAAUAUUCUUAAUAUUUGAAUUUGUAUAUUAAGGUUACACCCUUCUCUUUCUAGUUUGCCGAAAGUUUUAUCAGUAAUAGAUGUUGGAAUUUUCUUAAAUGGCUUUUUUUCCCCACAUCUGUCAAGAUGAUUGAAUGAGUUUUCUUUAUCGUGACUUCACAUAACCAUUUUAAUAGGUUUGCUGGUAUUAAACCAUCUCUACAUUUUUAGGAAAAUCUGGUUUUUGUCACAGUGUAUUAUUCUUUCACUGUACAUCUUCAUUCAAUGUUAACAGUGGUUAUUUAUGAUGGGUUGGUUUCUGGUAGAUUUUUAUUUUUCAUUCUCAUCUCUAUUUUCUGGUUUUUCUAUGGAAAUAAAAUAAGAGCUUUAAAAUAAAAUGUUUAAAAUAAGAAAAAUAUUCUGGAUUUGAUUUGCUCAUCAUUUUGGGAUUUUUCAUAUGUUAAGGUGGAUUGUUGUUGUUUUUUCUGCUCUCUUUGUCAGGUAUUGGUGUUGGGUUUGCGUUAACUUCUUAAAAAAAAAAAAAAACUUGGGAAGCUCUCUCUUUUUUAUGCCCUGGAACAGUUUAAUAUUUAGAAUUUUUUGCUCUUUGAAGUUUUUAUAACAUGUAUAAGUCUGUCUGAGUCUAGUGCCUUUUUAGGAAAUAAUUCUUUGGCAGUUUUUUCAGUGUUAAUCCUUGCUCAUGAGUCUCUUUAAACUUUCUUCCUGGUCUCUAAGUUUUUGGCAGUUUAAAUUUCAUCAAUAAUGAUUCUGUUAAGAUUUUCAGAUUUGCUGGCAUGGGGCUGUAUUCUCUUUUGUUAUUCAUAAAGUUGUGUCUUUGCUUUCCCUUUUUAUUCUGAUCGGUUUUUCAGAAUUAGUCUAUUUCAUUGAUCUUUUCAAAGAACCAACUCUGGGACUGAUAUCUUAAGGUACCGUUUUACCAUUUUAGGAGUUUUUUGGUUUGCUUUUGUUCUUAUUUCUCCCUUUAUUAUUUUUUCACUCUCUCAAGUUGAAUGCCAUUUUAACAUGUUUGAUAGUAGAUAGAGUUAUUAGCAAUCACCAGGCUAUAUAUAUAUGGCUUUUCUUCUGAAUAGGUCUUUAUCCAUAUCCCUUAAAUAAUUUGUAAUUUCAGAUUGGACUUUAUUUUUUACUGAAGAGUUAUUUGAAAUUAUACUUUUAAAUUUCUAGAUAGUUCGAUACUUUUUGUUGUUGUUGUUUUUAACACUUGUUAUAAAUUUCUACUUUUACUGUCUUGCCGUCAAAGAGGGUAUGGCCUGUACAAUUUCUGCAUUUUGGAGUUUACUGAUGUUUUCUUGGGACCUAAUAAAUUCUUAAUUUUAAUCAAUAUUCCCAGAAAACUGGAAAAGAAGGUAUAUUCUCAGAAGGGAACAGAAUUCAAUCUGUAUGUAUUAAUUUGACCUUAUUAGUUGCAAAAUCAUGGACCUUUAAUUUUUGCUUCCUUGAUUCACUAAAGACUAAGGAAAAUAUGUUAGUCUCCCAUUCCCAUUGUAUCUCUGUCUCUCUUGUUUCUAACAGUUUUUGCUUUAUGUAUUUCAGUAUGGUGUUAUUUGGCAAAAUAUCUUUUUAUACUUAAGAGAAAACGAUUUUCCUUUAAAGACGUGUAUACCUUUGUGGAUUUUACCUGAGUUUGUUGUAACAGAGUUGUUUAUGUAGAAAUACAUAGUUCAGUAAAAGUUUGUGUCUGUUUU
rnacentral:lncRNA from 1 species